UAAUAUAUCUAGGACAAAUCUUUAUCUAGUUAUGGCAAACCUACACAUGACCGCUUAAAAUUACUCGUUAUCGCAAGUCCGAUUAUAUCAAUUAGCUUUUUGUAAUUGUUGUUUUAAAAA
rfam:Populus trichocarpa isolate Nisqually-1 chromosome 1, whole genome shotgun sequence.